rnacentral:snRNA from 1 species
AUACUUACCUGGCAGGGGAGAUACCAUGAUCACGAAGGUGGUUUCCCCAAGGCGAGGCUUACCCAUUGCACUCCGGGUACGCUGACCCCUGCGAUUUCCCCAAAUGUGGGAAACUCGACUGUGUAAUUUGUGGUAGUGGGGGACUGCAUUCGCGCUCUACCCUA